AUGAAGAACGCAGCGAAAUGCGAUAAGUAGUGUGAAUUGCAGAAUUCAGUGAAUCAUCGAAUCUUUGAACGCACAUUGCGCCCUUUGGUAUUCCAAAGGGCAUGCCUGUUCGAGCGUCAUUUGUACCCUCAAGCUUUGCUUGGUGUUGGGCGU
rnacentral:rRNA from 1 species